AAGCCCCUUGCAGCCGGCAGGUCCCUCCCCAUCCCGCCGCACAUCCAUGCAGCAAACUGGAGUUCCCAGCUCCAGCGUCUGCCGCCGUGUACAGAAAACCUCAUUUGCUUCAAUUGAAGCCUCCCCGUUGAUUUAAUUAAUGCAAAUCGAGGCGUGUUAAACCUCCUUGAAAGCAGCAAGGCCUGGAUUCACAACAGGCUGUGAGGGUCCAGCACCCUGCCAGCUGAGCCCAGUGUGUGCAGUGAGAACACACAAACCCUGGUAGAGGAGCCCAGUGCCCACAACCGGCCCCGAAGAACAGCGUGGGCAGAGGUGCAGUGCUGACCCAAACCCUGGGCAGCACCUUCUCGAGCAGAAUUCCUUUGAUUGGCGCAGUCACCAUCUGUUCUGAGCACUUUUACUUGUCUCAUUUGAAGGAGGAAUUAACAGAUUCGAGCGAAUUUCUCAAGAAACAACCUGGCACUGGGAGCCAGGCACCCUGUCUGAUUUGAAAAAAAUUAAAUUACUUCCAACAGCA